ensembl:lncRNA
GUUUGUAACUGCUUGCAUGUGUACAUGUGGGAGUGUAUGUAUGUGUGUGUGUGUGUGUGUACAUGCCGAGGCCUCAAGAUCAAAGGCGCAGGAGAGGCAGGACUGCAGAGUUUCGAGAUCUUGACGCACCUGUCAUGUCUGUAUGUCCUGACAGCUUUUGUCUGGUUUUCUCUAGUUAUGAAAUAUGAGCACACUGGAAUGGUGACUAUUUUUUGGUUGAUCACAUGCGCGUCAAAGCCAAAGAAAACUCAAAAAUGUGAAUAGUAAAAUAAAUUACCUUUUGUUUGUUUUUUGGUGAUACAGUAAUGACAAAAGCCUUGUUUUUCUAAAACAGCAACAUUAAAUACUAAUGAUGAUAAACGUACAAAUAACAAGAAUUAUUGAGGAAAAGCACCGUCCCCUGUCUAUUGUUCUCCAGGGGGCUUGAACUUUUAGUACAGAGUACGACAGCACAAAAAAGUAACACAACUUUAUUACAGUUAUUAAAUUCCAACAGCUAUACCUCGAGUUAACCAUCAGAGAGGCCGACGUGCCUUACGUGAUUUCUGUGUGUUGCCAAGACCUAACAAACUUGUUUCCUGCAAAUAAAGAGCUUUAUUGUGAAAAGAUCUAAGGAACAGACACGUGUCAUAGUUUGUCCAAUGACCAAGCUGCUGUAUUUGACAUGUUUUUCCACCUCAAAGGUGAGAUGAUUUUGUUAUUUAAAAACCUGACCCGAUAUCCUUGACACAUUGGCCAUUUGGUUAAUUAAUUAAAACAAUUCUACAUACACUAAUGAGAGGAGAGAAGCUACAAACGCAUUUGUCUUUGUAUUUUUUGAGCCUGAAGGUGAUACACCCUGUUGAAGAUGCAAGGAGUGGGAGCAUUUUUGCGUGUCAUGCAGUCACGGUGUCGUGGAUUUGAAAUAACAGACAAGGAGAAGGUGUGUUGCAAAUAAGAUAAAUUACAAGAAAAGGACGGGAUAACCGGUUUGGUGACUGCACUCCUGCCAAAAUAACUUCUCAUAAAUUCCUUCAAAAGGAGGGAGAAAGGUUGAUGCAACACUUAAAUAUGUUCCGGUGUUACUUUAUGUAAGACGCUCUGUUGUUCCCUUGCAUGUCCAGUUUUAGUAAAGGAUUAAAUGUGCCUUGUAUGGAUUUAGAACACUUUUGAAGUCAGGAGUCAGACAAACCUUUCAAAGCCUGUUGUGUAACUUCAAAAAGGCUUAGUCACCAAAGUAAAACUUAGAACAGUGAGGAGUUGGUGGAAGGUUUUUGACCCUGCGGCAGUGAUAGCUAAAUGCAUGGAAGCAGCUUGGGAAUGGUUUCAGAGACAUUCUUCGUGCAGCCUCAAAAAAGGUUGCUUUUUUUUUUUAGUCCCGGUGGAAUCCGAAUGAUAUUUCAGUCAAAAGGCGAGAGCAAAAGCCUGUGGUUGUGUGGGUGAAAUUCGGAUACCAUCCAAUGUUCAAAGCCUUGAAAUACAUGUGCCACACAAUGUUAACGCAUUCCUUUUCACAAUUUACAAUGCAUAAACAUGACGGUUUACAGAGGCCCAGGGUGAUUAUUUGCACAGAGGUCUAGUUUCAGCUAUUUCAGACCCCGUACAGACGGACUCUAGUUUGCCUGAACCCGGGUUCAUUUUUCACACCUACCCACUUUUUAAAUCGCGUGCACAUGAACCCAGUGAAUCCGAUUGACUCCGCUGUAGUACAUCCCCCACGCCUGUUGGUGGCGCUUUGAGGUGCUACAGACAACUGAAGAAAACGGAGGAGAAAGGAGAAGACAGGAGCAUGCGUAUAAGACAUGCUCGCCGUAUACAAACGAAAACUACACAGAAGAAGAAGAAGAAGAUGACAGGGUUGGAUUGCACGCAAUCACGUGAUGCAAUCACGCGGGGCAAUCCGAUUAGGUAUGCGGAUAGCGUGCAGACGAACACCAACAGCAAUCGGAUUUCGAGUUUACUCACUUUGGACCCCUGAUUCGAGGGAGUGCGGAUACAGUGCGUUCGUCUGCACGAUAGGGCUAUCCGGAGACGGGGUUCACCGGGUUCAGGCAAACUAGAGUCCGUCUGCUCGGGGUCUCAGGUUUUCUUGGGGCUACCCCACCAUCCCGCCACACAAGUGAUUCUUGAAAGUGUUAAACCACAGGCCCCCCGCCUUGGUCAACACGAAACACCGACUGUUUGGACUUCAAAUGUCUAACACAGAUUGUCCAGACAGCACGAGCUACAAAGGGAAACUUACGCCUUUGUGAAAAGAAAACAAACUCUUUGGGGCAAUUAUGUCAUUUUAGAACAUAAAUGCUUUAGUGUAUUCUGUGUAGCGUUACACACCUUUCUGACUUUUGUGAAUGAGAGAGGUCUGCUUUAAGGAAAUACCACUUUCAUGAAAGCAAUAUGUUGUAUCACAAAAGACAUGACAUACAAAUCACAUCACACUGUUGCAGCUAAAGUCUGACAAGUUGCAACUUAAAAAUUCAACUCUGCUCCGGGUCGUGUAUUCAUGGCACUGUCUUUCUGCACAUACAGAACAUGAACUUAUUGUCAGCAGCUCUGAUAUGUCUGAUAUGAAGAGAAUGCACCAAUAUCUCAUUUUUCAAAAGUUGUGAAAAACCUUAGCAGAGCAGCAUCUCCACAAGGGCCCCACUGAUGUAUCAUGAAAGACUUUGACUUCUCAGUUUGCAUUUGAUACGGUGUCUUUUUAGCAGCCACGCGAGAAAGCCAGUUAUGGGAACGCUGCAAAAGGGAGAGACAGGACGAGCUCCUGGGCCCUCAGAAGUCUUGUCAAAAGCCUUCCCAUCCUGUGCUUUGUCCCACUGAUAUUCAUCUUGCCAGUUGAAAAGUGUAGAUGGCAAAAAACUUUGGGCUUGAAAAGAACUUUUCAACUUCUGAGAGACACCUCGCAACAGGACUGAGUAUUUGAAAAAAAAAAAGAAAACCCGAAACAGUAGGAAUGGAAGGGACUUCCAGAGUGGGAGGCGUGUUGAAGAAUCCGAUACCGCGCUUGGAAAAAACGAAUGUGGCGAACAGGAGAGUGUGAUUCUGGCUGGCUUUAAAAAGGGAAGCUCAGAUAUCUCAAUAAACAUGGAUUAAGCUUCAUACAUCCUCAUUGUGUGUGCGAGACAGACACAUAUAUAUAUAUAUAUAUAUAUAUAUAUAUAUAUACAUAUGUGUGAGUUGUGGCGAUGUGCGCAUGUUUAUGAAUCAGUAAAACCUUGUUCGACAGAACGCUUCUCACAAAUGUCGUCCUACAGAGUGCUGUUAAAAGAAAAGUUUAAUAAAGUUUGAUCACUCCUUAUUUCAUCUCAAUGGGGCCUUUCAAAACUUGCAGAGCAAAAACUUUCACUCCACAUCAUUCUACCUCAACUCUCAAAAGGAAGCUGACUUCAUCACCGCACCUCGAGAGUUUGACGAAAAUGAGCGCUAAGCUCUUGAAUCCUUUCAUUCUUCCGCUCAAUGGCAAAAUGAAUAAAUGAUACUUCUCCCUUUAAUCGACGCACUCAGCGAUAACAAAGAGACUUUGAGACACUUUGAGGACACCUAACGAUCAGAAGCAUCAGUAGGUGCUCUUCGUUUUCGUUGACGGACAGGCAGAUCAAAAAGCAAGCCCCUUAAACGCUCACUACCCACUUUAGAAUAAUCUCGCCUUUUCCCUCUUUCAAGCACAAAGUGGGAAGAAAGAAUAAUUGUUUCAUCUUCAAUCUCUUCUCCAGUUUCAAAGUUAUUCUUUCCCGUGAUAAAGCGCUCUGUAUUGACGACUUCGAAGGUGCCUUGUCUCUUGAAAGACGUGACAUUUUAUCUAUAUAUAGUGAUAGAGUGUGCUUCAAUUUAACUUUGUCUGGCGCAGAGCGCGUCUAGUGUUGAUGUGGCUGACAGCUGCUGGUUGAAAGACACGGGGAAAGUACUGAAGAUUCAAAUGAAGUUUUGCCAUGACGACAGGGGCUUGAUGUAUAUGCUAAUCAAUCGAUGGGGUAGAAAAUAUGCUUGCUGAUGGAGAGAGAAAAACAGGUUAAAAGUGUGAGUGACAGAGACCUGUCAGACAGCCCUCACCCAGGUAUCAAAAAGUCACAACGUUUGCGUCGCCACACAAGAGCCCAAAUCGCAUGUGGGACACGCAACAAAAGGGUUGACUUGAAACGCAUUGCAUUUGAUAUAAAGGAAAAAGAAAUUGGGACAAUUCUCCAUAUGGUGUGGCAGCUAGCAUGAUUCUUUUUUUUUCUUCGACGAGGGAGGUGGGGGGGGCUUUGUCUCUCCGACACCUACGGUGAAUUCCUGAGAAAAUUCUCUGUCUAGGUCUGUCUGAACCUAUUCCCUCCUUCAAAGGACACCAGCUAUAGGAUGUUCAAUUUACAUCACAAAAGACCCUGAACUGUCUCAGCAAGUGAAAGUAUAACAGAUGAUCAAACAGGCGCAUCAGAUCAAAUAUAUCACACAUCAAUAUCUGAUAGAACAGAUUGGGAAAGAUGGACAAGAUCUCGGCUUUCAAAUAAAAUAUUCAGUCAAGGCUAAAAAUAUUGUUUUGCUUCAGUCUAUCACAGUUGUUUAGAAGCUUCUAAUAUUGCAGAGAGAUGCUUGCUAGUUGCUACCACCACGCAGUAACUCUCCAGGCCACCUGACUUGUAGCAUCACAACACGUGAGCGGCUGCUGUUCAUUUCAGCUUUCAGCCCAGCGGACUGCAGCUUUCAUAAUGCAAGUAAGGAAAAAAGAAUGGAGGAAUCCAUUCCAGAUGUGGAUCCCUGAGGAAUUCCGGGAAACACAAACUAUCUCCAUCAAUCUGUUCAUCCACAUGUACAGUAUCUGCAACAGGUUAAGAUGACUGAGACAGCUAUCACCAGAGAAUAAUGAUAAGGACCCUUCUAAUAUCACAUAAACGUGGAUUUAUUUCUCAGUAUGGCAGGUUUCAAGUCAAUCAUGCACCCCUGUGUAAACCAAGAGACGCCCGAAUCAUUAGGACCAAACAAACAUGGGGGUGUCAGACAAACUGGAAUCCUGCAGAGGAGAUGGUGACGGACUCUUUUGUUUGACGUCAGAACCCUGAACGAGGCCCAAACUCACUGCUGGAACAAUAAAUUCCCACAUACUAACAUUCAUGCUCAUGUAUACUGUGGCUCAUAUUCACACACACAGAGAAGAUUUGUUCAUGCUGGCACGCACACACACACACACACACACACACACACACACACACACACACACACACAGGGAUCUGUGUUAUCGUCCAAUGUGAUUAACGCUGUAAAGCGAUUAAGAUCAGGGUAUUUAUUCAAAUCUAGACAUCAAACAAAUUCUUUCUUUUUCUUUUUUUUUUUUAUCUCCACAGAUCACAGAAGUUACUGUCAGGGGAGAAAAGGCGCCGUCCAAUCAGCUCGGCGUCCAGCGCGGUUCGGCCAAACGGGGGCCGGCGCUCUUUCAUCAUUUACAGAGGGAGCGUGCCGCGCCAGCGCCAUCCAUCCCGCCAGAACAAGGCCGCUCACUGUCGGGCCGGACAAUGGACAGUAGAGCUGGAGGUGGCAGUGGACUCAUUGCGAAGGGUGAUGUCACCAACAUUAGACCCUGACACGGCCAGACGCCAAUACCAGGGUCUACGGUUCAAGAGUGAGGGCGGACGGGCAAAAUGGUAACAGUGGGGCUGCGGGGUCGAGGAGCCGGGGGCGGGGGGGGGACGUGAAUGGAGACUGUGUUUGUAAUCACGGCGCAGCUCAAAGGCAUACACACUCUUUGAGAAAAUAAACACAGUCGUGCAUAGAAACUGAAGGAAAAGAUGGAAAUCCAGACCAGAGGGGCUGGCGGAGCGCUGUGGACACUGUGUGCACAUUCUCUCUUUGAAAAGCUCACGGCGUCUAUUUCAGACACUCAACCCGCGCUACAGAGAAGACAGUCAGCAGCCACCAAUAUUCACUGAUGUGUGAGCAACAUCAUGGCAAACUAAUCAAUAACUCACAUAUCGUCGCCUGAAAAAUUGAGAAUGGCAGCACAUAAAUGUGCUUUCUCCACCAUCAGGUUGUGUAUCUACAUUUGAUGAUACCAAUAGUAAUAUCUCAAUUGGGUCUGAUACUAACUCACAUGGGGUUGGGUAAUGAUGACAACAGGCUGUCAAACAUUUCGUAGCAUUAAAAAUCUCUGUACGUGGAUAUUUACAUUUGCAUUCAUUAGAAAAGGAAACCACUUUACUUUACGUUCAGCGUGGCGUUGCCCACACAUAAUAGAAUGAUCCCAGUCUCUUCUGCGCAGCAAGACAUACAGCUUGUCGAUCUACCUGCUGAUUGAAAGUUGUUUUCCUCGUUGUUCUCAAAAGCAGAGUUAAGUUCAUUAGUUUGAGAGAUUUCAACCAAGAGUAGACGGGGAUCAAAUAAAAGUGUAACACACUCUUGAGGACCCAAAAAGCAUUUUAAAUCCAGCUACCAAGGUCCUCGCCUGUGAUUCGGGCCGCGGCAUCUGCCUGUACUUUAACAGGGAUUUUGAGAUGGAGACGAGCUGCUGACACAAAAAACAUUUAACACCAGAUGUUCUCUUCGAAAUUACAGGAGUGAUUUUGAGAGCUUUCCUUCUGGUGAAGUCGCACACAAUUAAAGUGCGCUAUUGCUGCAUACGGAAUUUCAAUGGAGGAAAAACACAACUAUAGAUAAUUUAAGCGUGUUUAUGUGUUGGCACAUCAAAACGGUUUUAAUUACGCCUAAUCCUGGACUGAGAUUAUUUCUAAUGGGAAAUCUUCUGCCGAGAUGCUCCCACUCAAUUUCCAUCUGGGAUUAUUGAACUCCUUCAUUCACAGGCUUAAAUCUCAGUGUUGAUAAUCAGCCCUUAGUGCCUUGGACUGCCAUUAAAGAAAAACAUGGAAACACGGUAUAUAUGUUGUGCGCCCCCACAUUCAAAGACACACGCAUGCACGUGUGUAUGUACUGUAAUGUGGUGAUACCGUUACCUUGCUGGAUGUAGCCCGGUGUAAAUUUGAGAUGUGUUCUUUGCUUUUUUCCCUUCUUCUUCUGUCUUUUUUUUUUUUUUUAAGGGAACAUGAGGCCUAGGACGCCCAUGUAGGUCAAAAACAAAUCCUGCGCCUCAAGCUGGGAAGCCAGAAACUUCUUUGAGCAUCUGAGGGAAAGGAGCAGGAGCACCGAGUUUCUUCCAGGUGCUGCUUUUCACAGUGGUAAUCCUGCCACGGCGUGACUGUGAUUUUUACAGAAAAUCUCUCCAAACAGGCCCCAGAUGGUGGGAGGUAGAGGCACACACACAGAAAACACAUUCAUUCACAGACGCACACACAAACACGGCACUGUACACAGACGCAGGCGUACACUUGUGCUUAUAAAGAAAGAAAAAAAAAACCUUGCGCACGCACACACGCACACACACACGCACACACACACACACACUCUAAAAAAGGUGAGAACUGACUUGUUGCUCCUGGGUGGUCUCUGUGUAAAGAUAAGGCCCGGGCAGGAAUAAAGCCGGUUACAUUGAGGCACGACUUUGGGACUGUUUUGUUAUGCUCCUCUUUUGUACGGGUGUGGAAUGUCUGCGGCGGUGCAGGAGCUCGUUGCUCUCUAAGUUUAGCUCCGAUUACAGAGGGCUUUCUUAAUGACAACGAGUCGGGAGCUGAAGCUGCAUAAAGCUCCUCUUCGGCUCUAUUUCUACUCUCAUCAACUGUGUUUGCGGAGGAGUUCGUACGUGCCCCGCUGCAGGAGACACCUCUGCUUUGUGGGGCUGUUGGUCAGGCAUGGAGAUCCUGACAGUUGUUAGCAUGCGGAGGAUGUGGAUACGCAGGACGUUUGAAAUGAAGAGAUAAAAGAGUUAAUCUUCUACCGUUUCUAAACCGAUUCCCUCCAUGGCUGCCUAUUUAUGUACGAGGAAAGAAAGGGAAAAAAAAAAAAACUUGCUCCAUCUCUCCGACGCUGCCUUUCUGUUUCAUGUGGUUACUGGAACAACAAUGUACAUUCUGAGUGCCGGGCCUUUGAUGUUGUUGCAUUCACCGAGCCGUCUUAAACCGGAGGAGAAAAGAGAGGGCAAAAAAGACGCAGGAGAUAUUCUGUGGUUUACUUUCCCUCGCUCUCUCUCCCCCUCUCUUUCUAUGUCUCUCUCUCACUGGCAAGGCAUCUGACGUCUCCCAGCAAAAGACAAAUUCGGUUUCGCCUGUUAAGUCGUCAGUCA